rnacentral:lncRNA from 7 species
GUAGGCUUGUUUUCCUGUAGAAGUGUUGGGCUCUGGAGGCAGUAGGUGCUAAAAGUUGCUCUCACGUGGUCAUUCUUUCCUUUUUUUUUCAUUAAAAAGAGCAAAGAAAUCAUCUGACGGGGGCUGAAGAACGUCUGGGCUCUGCAGGACAGAAAGCUCAAAACCAGCAAGGAAAGAAAGGAGUGCUGAGAUUGUCACAACUGUAGAAUCAGCCUUGAAUUAUAGAAACCCUCGUGGAAAAAUUGCAGUGAUUGUUUUGCAGCAGAAUGAGGAAUGAUCACUGAGAUCCAACCCCAGAGGAUCUUGUCAGCUGCUGGGCUUCGAAAACCAGCCAAGAGAGAGCAGCCCUGGAAGAUCCUUGCCCUGAGUUUAUGCAUUUCCCUGCAGAUGCUCUGCAGGAUGGGACCUUUUGGGUCUGCCAUCACCUCCAGGCCAACCCCCAGCCGUGCUGAGUGUGUAAUGGCACUGCUGUGUCUUUAAUUUGGCAGCUUUAAGCCUAAUGCUUUCACUCUGCUCGGAAUAAUUUCCCAUCUGCAAAUAUCAGGGGCACGGCAGGGCAAGAGGACAUCUAAAAGGCAAUUUCUGCCUGGAGUCCCCUCUCCUUCACUGGGUGAUGUGCUUCAGCAGCAGCAGAGCCCGUAUUCCUCCACAGCAGCUGGCAAAGGGCCGGGCAAGUUGGACCCAGGGCACAAAGCAUUGGGCUGCUGGUGUCAUAGGUGAGGAAGAAGAGCUCUUCAGCUUCAGGCUCAUCCCAGUUGGGACAGGAUGACAGAGGGCUAUGUCCAAAACAGCAUCAAAAGACAAAGCAGCACAAUUGAUCAAUCCAGCAGUCAGCAGCAUCUGCCUGGCACACCAAUCACAACCCAGGCUCUCCCAGUCCCAUUCUGUUCCAGGUUUCUACUUCCACGUAGCAAAACCAUCACUUUGGCUUCUUCAAGCAAGGGAAGGGAAGCUUAUUUCUUCUCCCUACACCCAAAAAUCCAUCUUCGAACAAAGACUGGGAGAAAUUCAUAUACAGAAGUACCAUCUUGCAGUUAAUCAUAAAAACUAGCAUAGUGUAGCAAUGAUUAUUUAGCAGGAAUGAACACCCACUCCGUUCUGUCUCCUUUUUGUCAUAACUUGGACAAUUUUCAAGCGUUAAUAGGUAAAAUCCAGUUUUCAAUAGCUCCAACUUCCCCUUUUUAUUUUUCUUAUU